AUGAUGUUGCAAGGCAAGGCUUUAAAGUCCUGUUGGGAAACACGGGUAGCUGGGGCUGUGGGUGGUGGGGAGAGGAACAACCUUCAUCCAGUGAUGCUUGAAAGCAAAGGAGCCCCCAGCCCAGCCUGGGCAGGCAGAGCUCAGCGGGAGAGGUCGCUCCUGGAGCCAAGGUGGAUCCAGCCCUUGCUGGAGGACGGGGACAGAGAGAGGCUGAGAAGGUCUCGCAGAGGAGACUCAAGCUGGGUAGGAUGCCCCAAAAGGCAGGGUGUGGAGUUGUGGGGUACAGAUGGGUGUCGGUGCACAGCUGGGUGAUGGUGCACAGGUUGGUGUUGGUGCACGGGUUGGUGCCAGUGCACAGCCCGAUGAUGGUGCACAGCUGGGUGUCAGUGCAGAGCCGGGUGUUGGUGCACAGGUUGGUGUUGGUGCAGGGGUUGGUGUCAGUGCACAGCCCGGUGAUGGUGCACAGCCCACCGCAUCCUUUGCUACCCCGCCUGGCAGGAGGUGACGCUGAUGCUGCCCUCGUCACCGCCCCCAGGGACGGUGCCUGGGUGGGUGUCCCCAGGCAGAGGCUGGCCCUGGGGCCGGCAGCGGGGCCAGGUGAGGUUCCCAGUCCCCACCUGCUGGGCCCAGGCUGAGCCUCCCCCUCCUGGCUCCUGCUCUGCUUUCAGCUCAGCUCGAAAACAACCCCUUUGUUUUCUUUAGUUCCUUUCCUAAUUUAGACAGCCCCAAGGCCCCGCGGGCAGAUAAAGGCAAGUUUAUUCCUUCCCCCUGUUUAUGGCUCUGCUGGAACACGCUGCUCCUGCAAAUAUUACAUCAAGGGGACGAGGAGAAGGCUCGGCUUCGCCAGCACGGCCUCCCUCUCACCCAGAUCCGCGCAUCGCCGCUCACCGCCCCGACCCCAGCGAGGGACCCGGCCGGGCUCCCGCUGCGCUCGGCUUGGUGGCAGCGGCUCUCCGCCUGCCAGCCCCUGUGCCACUGGUGCCCUCGGCUCCUUGUGCCCCGCGUGGGACACACGUCCCUGCCGCUUCCUCGGCCACGUUGGCAGCGCUCGGUUCCAUCCCUGCCUGAGAGCAGCCCCUGGGGGGGUGUGGGGGGGGUGUCCCAGCAGAGCCCCCAGUGCCAGGCGUGGGCAUGGGGGUGUCCCCGCCACCGCGCCGGCAGCGUGCUGCCGCCCAGGCUGUCGCAACGAGCCACGAGGCUGGGAGCUGUGUUUGCUUUGCUGGAACAACGUGUCACCGCCGGCCGAGCCUCGGUUGCAUCAUCCCGACGGGGACGGGAGAGCGGUGCCCAGCCUCCGUCCACGAGGCCGGGAGAUGGGGUGCAGGAGCCUCCCCCCCCCCCCCCCCCCCNNNNNNNNNNNNNNNNNNNNNCCCCACACACACCCCCCGGCCAUAAAGCCCUGCAGGAGAUUGCGUCGGGGGUUUCAGCACUUCCCAGGGCAGCGGGGUGAUGAGCCGCCACCCCUGGGCUGCCCCAGUCUGGGCUUGAAAUCACUGGCAGCAAAAGCUCCUGACCCCAGGCCAGCCUCACCACCGCCUCCUGCAGGAGGAUGGAUCCCUGGGAGCACAGGUGCUGGGGUGACUUUGGGGAUCUCCAUCAGCAACGUGGGCCACCCUAGCGUGAGAGGACAUCACGUUCCCCCGAAAUCAGCCUGGAGGCUGGGAGCAAGCUCGUCCCAGAGGGUCAGGGACACCCCGAGAGGUGCUGGACCCUGAGGGAGAGGUGGUGUGAGGACAGCAAAGGAAAUCAGAGAUACGGGCGGGAAAUAACAAACGUGAGUCAGAAGAGAAGCACGCACACAAGGGCAGCUUGGGGAAGCUAAUCUGCAAGAAGAUAACGCUGCCGGGGUGGGGGAGAUCAGACAUGAGCUCGUCGGAAGGGAGAACCAAGGCUUUCAAAACCCCAGCGCCCAUCAUGGGGCUGUGCAUCAUGCCUGGCUGCGUCACCCGUGGGUGCUGGGGGCAGCGUGGGCUGGAGCCGUGCUCGGCACCCGGCCUUGGAUGCUGUGGACAGCACGUGCGUGUCGGGGCACGCCAGCAGCCUCCGAAGGUUUCCAAAGCCCCUGAAAUCCCACCCCGGGUGCUGAUCCCCCUGCAGACAGGGCUAGCCCCCGCACAGCCAGCCUGCUUUUAGUCUGGUGGAGAUUAAGCUCUCUGGGGGCCUAAUGGCAAUUCUUUUGGCACGCGUUCAGCAAGCCUUAAUCCAUCUUAUCUCCUCUCUGAAAGGAUGAACUC
rnacentral:lncRNA from 1 species